CCUACGGGUGGCAGCAGUGAGGAAUAUUGGUCAAUGGCCGUAAGGCUGAACCAGCCAAGUAGCGUGAGGGAAGACUGCCCAAUGGGUUGUAAACCUCUUUUAUGCGGGGAUAAAGGUGGCCACGUGUGGAUGGUUGCAGGUACCGCAUGAAUAAGGACCAGCUAAUUCCGUGCCAGCAGCCGCGGUAAUACGGAAGGUCCGGGCGUUAUCCGGAUUUAUUGGGUUUAAAGGGAGCGUAGGCGGGUCUUUAAGCAUGCGGUGAAAUUUUGUGGCUCAACCAUGAGCGUGCGGCGAGAACUGGAGACCUUGAGUGCGCGGAAGGCAGGCGGAAUUCGUGGUGUAGCGGUGAAAUGCUUAGAUAUCACGAAGAACCCCGAUUGCGAAGGCAGCCUGCCGCGGCGUUACUGACGCUGAGGCUCGAAAGCGCGGGUAUCGAACAAGAUUAGAUACCCGUGUAGUC
rnacentral:rRNA from 1 species